AAGAAGCGAAGCGGUGACGUGGAGCAAACCUCAGAAAGCCAAUCUCAGUUCGGAUUGUAGGCUGCAACUCGCCUACAUGAAGUUGGAAUCGCUAGUAAUCGCGAAUCAGAAUGUCGCGGUGAAUACGUUCCCGGGUCUUGUACACACCGCCCGUCACACCACGAGAGUUUACAACACCCGAAGUCAGUGGCCUAACCGCGAGGAGGGAGCUGCCUAAGGUGGGGUAGAUGAUUGGGGUGAAGUCGUAACAAGGUAGC
rnacentral:rRNA from 1 species